AGAGCGCGUGUGGCCGCCGAGCACAUGGGCCCGCGGGCCGAGCGGGCUCAGGGAGGCCGGGACGAGGAGGGGCGACGAGGAGCUGCGAGCAAGGAUGUGCCUCGGGACCCCCCCGCACCUUCCCGUGGAUUUCCUUGCGGAAAGGAUGUUGACGGUCCCUGUGACCUGUGGAGACACGGCCAGAUCUGCCCUCCA
rnacentral:lncRNA from 1 species